rnacentral:rRNA from 1 species
UUAUUAGAUCAAAACCAAACGAUUCAUUUCGUUUCCUUGGUGAUUCUGAAUAACUUUGAGCGGAUCGCACGGCCUCACGCCGGCGACGUAUCCUUCCAAGGUGUGCCCUAUCAACUGUCGACUGUGGCAUAGACGCCCACAGUGGUUUUGACGGGUAACGGGGAAUUAGGGUUCGAUUCCGGAGAGGGAGCCUGAGAGACGGCUACCACUUCUACGGAAGGCAGCAGGCACGCAAAUUACCCACUGGUCGCAGACCGAGGUAGUGACGAAAACUAACGACACCGGACUCAUCCGAGGCCCGGUAAUCGGAAUGAGUACACUUUAAAUCCUUUAACGAGGAACAAUUGGAGGGCAAGUCUGGUGCCAGCAGCCGCGGUAAUUCCAGCUCCAAUAGCGUAUAUUAAAGUUGUUGCGGUUAAAAAGCUCGUAGUUGGAUCUCGGCGGGCAGGGGGCGGUUCGCUUGUUUGCGCUACUGCCCCGCUUUGCCUGUGGUUGUUUGGCGGAGGUUUCGGGGUGCUCUUUACCGAGUGUCUCGGGAUGCCGUCAGGUUUACUUUGAAAAAAUUAGAGUGCUCAA